rnacentral:lncRNA from 1 species
CUACACAACUAAAGCACCGGAGUUUGAUACCACAACUUACGCUGCCCCGAGCCACUACACGGACACCCUGAAGUAUUACUCUGCCCCGAGUUACUACACCACCAAGGCCACGGAGUACUACAUGAAAACGCAUGCCGCCCCAUCCGACUACACCGAGGCUCCCAACUACACCGAGGCUCCUGCUGAUAACUUCACCAAAACGGUCGAAUACUACACCGAAGCGGCAAAGUACUUCUCUGCCCCGAGCUACUCAACCAGAACUGAGGCGGCCAAUUAUUAUGCAGUCCCGAUUUAAAACCCAGAAGCUGCUCUUUCGUACUACGUUGAACAGAAAUACUACACUGAUGCUCCAGUCUACUACACCACAACCUACGCUGCACCUAGCUACAACUCCACAGCCGCCAAGUACUACACCGAAGAAGCCUCCUGUUACACAACCACGUACGCUGCCUGGUAUACUACAUCGAGGAAUUUAAGUAUUAUCCUGCUCCAAAUUACUACCAUCUGAAGUUCAUAUGUAUUACACCAGCAAUUCUCCUGACUGUCACCACUACUCAUGUUGCUCCUACCUAUACAUCGAAGUUCUGAAGUAUAUCACUGAAUGUGUUGAAAUAUUGCUGAAAUACAAAAUUGAUCGAUAAA